GCCGGGGUGGCUCAGCUGGCGGAGCGUCGGACUCAUAAUCCGAAGGUCGCGGGUUCGAAUCCCGCCCCCGGCA
rnacentral:tRNA from 2 species